rnacentral:lncRNA from 1 species
CACACUAUUUAAUCCUCUUUUUUUACUAUAAGCCACUCUUUUUUUAAAUCUAGUUUUAUAUGCCUACAUUUUGCUUUUUAAGUUCACCACUUUUCUUUCACUCCUUUUUAUUGCCACUUUUGUGUAAUUCAUUCCUUUGUUGAAUCCUUUCUUUUUUAAUUCAUUUGGUCUAAAUUCUAAGGAAACUAGGCAUUUAACUUACAACUUCGUGG